rnacentral:lncRNA from 1 species
AUUUUAAAUGCUAUCCGAAUGGACUCUUAUUGGUUCAUAGAGGAGCAGACUCCUGGAAGUCAGGAUCCCUUGUUUUCCAUUUAAAAAGUCAUGAACAAAGUUACGACUUUACCCAAAGGUUCUCUGCAUCUGCUGGGAAAAGCCCAUGAUUGCUGAAACAGUUCUCAUGACAGACAACCUGAUGGGUCUUCCAACCCAGGAGUUUUGACAGCUGAGUCUCUGCCAGCGUGUACCUUCCUGUUCCUCAUAGGCCUGCCAGAGCGUGUGGGAGUGUUCCC